AGACUCCGUGGGCGUAGGACCCUCCGCGCCAGGUGCGGGAUAUAAUCUUGUGGCGCGCCGUUUUUUAAGCCGGUCUGAAAAGCGCAAUAUUUGGGUGGGAGUGACCCAAUUUUCCAGGUGCGUCCGUCACCCCUUUCUUUGACUGGGAAAGGGAACUCCCCGACCCCUUGUGCUUCCCAAGUGAGGCAAUGCCUCGCCCUGCUUAGGCUCGCGCACGGUGCGCGCACCCACUGACCUGCGCCCACUGUCUGGCGCUCCCUAGUGAGAUGAACCCAGUACAUCAGAUGGAAAUGCAGAAAUCACCCGUCUUCUGCAUCACUCACGCUGGGAGCUGUAGACCGGAGCUGUUCCUAUUCGGCCAUCUUGGCUCCUCCCAACCUGCAUAAGACCAGCAUUAUAGGCACGAGGAGAUAAACGAGAAGAGGUAGAAGCAAAGCCUCUAUCAAGAAAGCAACAUUUUCUGGAAAUCACUCAGAUCCUAGUUGGAUGUUUUCUGAUUACUCAUCCUUGAAAAAGGGUUCAUGGAAGCUGGAAGAGGCCAUGGAAAAGAAAUCCCAUCAC
rnacentral:lncRNA from 1 species